rnacentral:tRNA from 1 species
GCGCGCCCUGGCCGGGGCGGGCGCGGCGCUGGUGAUGCCCUCGACGCUGUCGAUCCUGACCGCGGGGUUCGCCCC